AUUGAACGCUGGCGGCAGGCCUAACACAUGCAAGUCGAGCGAGCGGCGGACGGGUGAGUAAUGUAUGGGAACUGCCCGAUAGAGGGGGAUAACUACUGGAAACGGUCGCUAAUACCGCAUACCAUCAGAUUACACAUAUGGGAAUAGCUAUUCGGUGAGGUAAUGGCUCACCUAGGCGACGAUCCCUAGCUGGUCUGAGAGGAUGAUCAGCAACCCUGGAACUGAGACACGGCCCAGACUCCUACGGAGGCAGCAGUGGGGAAUAGUGCACAAUGGGCGCAAUCCGGAUGCAGCCAUGCCGCGUGUAUGAAGAAGGCCCUAGGGUUGUAAAGUACUUUCAGUCGGGAGGCGUUACCGACAGAAGAAGCACCGGCUAACUCCGUGCCAGCAGCCGCGGUAAUAC
rnacentral:rRNA from 1 species